AACCCAGCCUUCCAUUCACUGAGGGCAAAAUCACUUUAACAGCUAUAGGUUUAGCCACAGAAAAACCACUCAGCUUCUAAAAAACAGGCAAACAAUUUCCCAAAUUGGCAAUCUGGCAGCAGUAUAACAUUGAGGACACUUUCUCAACUCAGCUGAGAAAACUCAGGAAGGACCACAUGGAGGAACAGAGGACAAAAGUUUUAUGGUCUGCUGGGAAUGUGUCAAAGAAAAUCAGAUAGCAAAUGAAAUGAGGUUUGUCAGUCACCCCACUGGUUUCAGGGGCACACUGUGCUCACUGCUAUUCCUGUGGAAUAAGUCACUCCUUGCAGCACCCACCAGCUCAAGUUUAAUCAGCUUCACAACAGCCUAGGAGAAAGCAUCACUACGUCCUCUCAUAAAAGAUGGGCACCUGAGGCAACAAAGCUUAGAGGAAGAACUACGGGUUACACAGGCACAGACCUCCCAAGGCACCUAGGUGUAGCAAUCCUGGUCAAGACAAAUAUCUGACCUUAUUAUACUUACACAAAGCAAGCUGGUGCCUACUACAAUCAUCCCAAUCAGGGAGCACAGCCACCUGGAAGAAAAGAGCCAUCAGCAAACUGUGCUAAAGGGAGAAAUCCCUUCUACCUGCCACUCUAUCUCCACAACACUAGUCAGUCCUACACCCCGAAUUCCAGGAACCCCUUAGGAUGUGAGAAGAUGAUGACAUCUCUACAUGAUCUGUUUAU